GGUAGUCCCCAGUCACAAAUCAUCGCGUCGCCUUCGCUGGUCCCUUUCUCUUAUCGAGCCUCAGUUUUCUCUUCCAUAAGCCGGGCCAGCAGUGCCCACCCCACAGGUUGGCGCCAGCUCCGUAAGGGCCCUACCACCGCGGCCGGCCAGAUCCUCGGCGGGCCAGUCCUGGCGCUGCGGUCAUUUAGCCUGAUGACCCCUGGCCAGGUUCAGCCUCAAUUGCUCCAAAGAACUCCGGACCCGUACCCCGAGCCCGGCGUCCCAGCGGCGAAGUUGAUGGGCCCCGCAGGAGCCCUUGCGGUGAGAACCGAGUCCUGGAGCCCCUGGAGCCCCCGGAGCCCCCGGAGCUGCAGCCGGGGCAGCCUCCUUUCCGCCGGGAGUCCAGCGCUCUCGAGAGCCCAGAAACUCACCGCGCGCAGGAGUUGGUGCGGGCGUCCCGGGCAGGUUAGACUUCUGUGAGCCGCAGCCCCGAAACUGAGGUCAAGAAGACUUACUGUGGACCCUUGGAGAAUUCCCAGGGCUUUGAAAAGUCCCAAGCACCCAGCAGGGCUGGCAGUUCUGAGCGCUGGCAAGGCUAAGUGGGUCAGAGGAGACCCUCGCCAAGCCGGUGGUUUCUGGCUGCGGCUGCACACCACCUGAAGGCUCAGCUGGGCCGGAUGUCCAAAAUGGCCGAGUCGCACAGUGAGCAGUGGAUUCUGACUGUCACCUGGAGCCUCAGUGGGGGCUCUUCACUGGAGCACUCACAUAUGGCAUCUCCACAUGGCUUGGGAUUCUCACAGCCUGACAGCUAAAUUCCAGGAGGGAACAUUAUCAAGAGAUCCAGGCAUCUUACAAGCCCAGCCUCAGAAGUCCUAGAAUGUUACUUCCAUCACAAUCCAUUGGUUAAGCAAGUCACUAAGGAGAACCUGAGAAACACGCUCAUCAAGUCCAGGAAAUAAAUAGAGGUACAAUGAUUUUGAUCUGCAGAAGUCUCAAGAGAAUAAACAGAAAAAUUCCUAAAAUUAGGCCCUGGAAAUGGGGGAUCUCCUGCCUUGACAGCUCAUCAGUACGUGUGAAAAGCCAACAAGAGUGGAUAUGAUAGGAACUGCAAUCACACAGCACUUUGGAGAAUGUGAAGAUUGGUGCUCACAGCAGAAGUUAACACACUGAUGCUGUGAUCACUGUUCAGUAGGUGGAAUGGUCCUUAGUGAUCCUUGAAGAGUAGCUGCAACUGGAAGACACAGAAUGGAGAGGGUGGAUCAUGCAAAUGAAAAGAUGGGCUCCAACAUUCAGCGGAAGGAAUUUAUGGUUGGUUCCCCCGUUUUUUUGUUGGCGGUGGUGGUUUAUUUUCAUUCCCCAUGCCCGGUCCUUCUGAUGGCACUCACUGAUUUGGCUCUAGGGCACAAGUCUAUGUUGCAUGCAGUCCUGGUGUAACAAUCAAUUGAGGCAUUUCCUGGGCGAGGAGCUGGGACACGGGCCAAGCCAAUCAGACUCUGGUUCCCCCAGGACGCUGAGUCAUAGUGGAGCCAUGCCAAGACGGAAACAGCUGACCUGCUGUGCUGCUGCCAUGGCUCCCUGAGGAGUGUCCCUCAGUUCCUAAGAGGGGACUGUCUGCACGCUGGCUCUUAUGGGUUGAUUUUGCACUUUUUCUUUGAUUCUGAGAGCUACCCACAUCCUCUCCAAUUCUUGCUCCAGUCAACCAGACACAGUUUCUAUUGCUUGCGGUGGAAGACAUGCCCAUGCAGAAGGCGUCAAGGCUCUUGGGAAGAUGGGGAGUGGCAUGUGUUCUCAUGGUGUUCACAGCUGCACAUGGGAAACACCUCAUUGCCUUCGCACAACAAACCCAAGAGGGAGGGGGUUCCUUCCCCAAUUCUGCAAAUGGAAAAACUGAGGCUCAGAGGGGAAAUUGAUCUCUCAGUGUCACAGCCAAUGAAUGACAGAGGGAAAGUUGUGGUCCAGGGCUGAGUCCGGGUUCCACAGUGUGUAGAUGAAUUUCUUCAACCCCUUCAUCAUGUGACAAGAGCCACAAGGUCUCCAGGCCUCCUGGACAUGACAGGUGUUUGCUCACAAACUGAAACUUUCUCUGCUGGGUCACACCCUCCUCGCCCAUCCCUACUCUUGGUGCAGGGCAUGAGCUGGACCCUGGAAGACCAAUGGGUAUUCAACUUUCAGAAAGCCUUGGCGAGGUCUAGUGAUGAAAUAAUUUUGUCAUUUGGAAUGCUGACAAAAAAAAUUUGAAUUUUUCGGCCAUAGUUUCAUUUCCAUAAAUCACUUCAUUCUUAUCCUAAUCCUUCCCCAACUGUUUGUCAAAAUUCCCAUCAAAUAUUUUUCCACUUGGAAGACUGAUUUUUAACACUCAUACCCCACCCCCACCAGGCCACGGUGUGGACAUUUUUCAUUCCUAAAGUCAGGAGGCCAGAGACAUUUCCAAGAGAGAUCAAAGCACUUGCUGGCCACGUUGGAAAAUGAGAAGGGAGGAUAAGGGUGUGAAGGGGCAUCCUGCCUCCAGGAGGGACCCCCUCCAAGUGAGUUAAGAGAUGUGGGCCAGGAGGGCUGAGCAGUAGCAUCCACUGGGAAGCCCUGGGCUCCAGGCCCAGCCCUGUAGCUGCCUCACUGGACAAGCCCUUCCAGCUGGCCUCGGAGGACAUGGACCAUCUUCCCGGGUUUGGCUGUGUAUCCCAGUAGCACCAUGGAGUAGCCAGGGCCCUUGGCCAGGCCACUAAACUACACCGUACCCCCCUUGUCAUCUGUUGCAUGCAGGCAUCAGAAUUUACCUUUAAAGAAGUGUUUCUCAAACUUGAGUCACUUAGUUUUCAUGGCAUAUUUAUACAAUAUAUGUGCGAUUAUUAAAAGUUUCCUUUAAAUCAAAU
rnacentral:lncRNA from 1 species